rnacentral:rRNA from 1 species
UACGGAGGGUGCAAACGUUGCUCGGAAUCAUUGGGCGUAAAGCGCACGUAGGCGGCUUGUUAAGUCGGGUGUGAAAUCCCUGGGCUCAACCCAGGAAGUGCACUCGAAACUGGCGAGCUUGAGUAUGGAAGAGGGUCGCGGAAUUCCCGGUGUAGAGGUGAAAUGCGUAGAUAUCUGGAGGAACACCGGUGGCGAAGGCGGCAUUCUGGACCGAUAUUGACGCUGAGGAGCGAAAGCCAGGGGAGCAAACGGG